ACCACUAUUUAAGGUGGAUUGAGAAAGAACUUAAGCUAAGUUAAACUCCUUAUUUAAGUAAUUGCCUCAAAAAUAACAAUUUAGUAAUUUUGUUCAUAUUUCCACCUAAUACCAUACACAAGACGCUGAAAUGAGCUUCUCAAAGCUUAAAUGAGCCCCUCUACGCUAAAGUGAGCUCCUCAAAUUUGCCGUUCCACCUUAAACUGUGUGGACUGUUAAUUACAGCCAGGUGGAGCAGGCUACGCCAUUUUAGAUUGGAAGGGCAAAUCCGAAGAGCUCGUUUCAGCGUCUUACGUUCGAUUUUAAGUGGAAAUUACGACCGUUGAGUGACUGAGUUAUGAUUUUUAAGGAUGAAAAUGAACCAACAAGGUUUUUUUUUAUGUACUUUUACUAGUGUUGACAGAGAAGUGCGCAGUGUGGAUGGUGUUGGACAGUAGAAAUGCUGGUAAGGGUUCAAUUUUAGAAAUCCAAAAAAUUCAUCAAGCUUCAGCAGGGAUUUAAUUAUGCUGACUUCAUGUCUGAAGUUCAGAAUAAGUUUGGACUAUCUGAGGACACACCUCUGCAACUUUAUGAUGACUCCGAAACCGAGAUUGAUGAGGACAUUUUGCUGGAUUUACUUCAGGCAAAACCUGACAUGGUCCUUAGGGUCAGAGACA